GGUGAACGCUGGCGGCGUGCCUAAGACAUGCAAGUCGAGCGGGCCGCGGGGUUUUACUCCGUGGUCAGCGGCGGACGGGUGAGUAACGCGUGGGUGACCUACCCGGAAGAGGGGGACAACCCGGGGAAACUCGGGCUAAUCCCCCAUGUGGACCCGCCCCUUGGGGUGUGUCCAAAGGGCUUUGCCCGCUUCCGGAUGGGCCCGCGUCCCAUCAGCUAGUUGGUGGGGUAAUGGCCCACCAAGGCGACGACGGGUAGCCGGCCUGAGAGGGUGGCCGGCCACAGGGGCACUGCGCCACGGGCCCCACUCCUACGGGAGGCAGCAGUUAGGAAUCUUCCGCAAUGGGCGCAAGCCUGACGGAGCGACGCCGCUUGGAGGAAGAAGCCCUUCGGGGUGUAAACUCCUGAACCCGGGACGAAACCCCCGACGAGGGGACUGACGGUACCGGGGUAAUAGCGCCGGCCAACUCCGUG
rnacentral:rRNA from 1 species